rnacentral:rRNA from 1 species
GAUGAACGCUGGCGGCGUGCCUAAUACAUGCAAGUCGAGCGAACAGAUGAGGAGCUUGCUCCUCUGACGUUAGCGGCGGACGGGUGAGUAACACGUGGAUAACCUACCUAUAAGACUGGGAUAACUUCGGGAAACCGGAGCUAAUACCGGAUAAUAUAUUGAACCGCAUGGUUCAAUAGUGAAAGACGGUUUUGCUGUCACUUAUAGAUGGAUCCGCGCCGCAUUAGCUAGUUGGUAAGGUAACGGCUUACCAAGGCAACGAUGCGUAGCCGACCUGAGAGGAGGAUCGCCCACACGGAAACUGAAACCCGGUCCGGGCCCCCAGGGGAGGCAGCGGUGGGGAAUCUGCCGCAAGGGGCGAAAGCCUAACGGAGGAACGCCGGGGGGUGAAGAAAGGUCUUCGAGUCGUAAAACCCUUUUUUUAGGAAAAAACAAAGGUUAAAUUAAUUAGCCACUACUUGACGGAACCUAAUAAGAAAGCCCCGGCUAACUACUG